UACGUAGGGCGCAAGCGUUGUCCGGAAUUAUUGGGCGUAAAGAGCUCGUAGGCGGCUUGUCGCGUCUGUCGUGAAAGCCCGGGGCUUAACUCCGGGUCUGCGGUGGAUACGGGCAGGCUAGAGGCAGGUAGGGGAGAACGGAAUUCCCGGUGUAGCGGUGAAAUGCGCAGAUAUCGGGAGGAACACCGGUGGCGAAGGCGGUUCUCUGGGCCUGUACUGACGCUGAGGAGCGAAAGCGUGGGGAGCGAACAGG
rnacentral:rRNA from 1 species